GUGUCAGCAGCCGCGGUAAUACAGAGGGUGCAAGCGUUGUUCGGAAUUAUUGGGCGUAAAGGGAGUGUAGGCUGUUAGGUAAGUCUUCUGUGAAAUCUACGGGCUUAGCCUGUAACGUGCAGAGGAAACUGUCUAGCUUGAGUGUCGGAGAGGAUAGGGGAAUACCCGGUGUAGAGGUGAAAUUCGUAGAGAUCGGGUGGAACACCAGUGGCGAAGGCGCCUAUCUGGCUGACAACUGACGCUGAGACUCGAAAGCAUGGGGAGCAAACAGGAUUAGAUACCCUAGUAGUCC
rnacentral:rRNA from 1 species